UAAUGCUGGGAUGUGAUGGGGAGCGAAAUUUAGUAGCGAAGUAGCUGAUUUCACACUGUCAAGAAAAGUCUCUAUCGAGGUUAAAGGUACCCGGACCGCAAACCGACACAGGUGGGUGAGGAGAGGAGCCUAAGGCCAGAGAGAGAACUGUUGUGAAGGACCGCGGCAAAAUGACCCCGGAACUUAGGGAUAAGGGGUGCCACCAUCAGGUGGCCGCAGAGAAUAGGCCCAAGCGACUGUUUACCAAAAACAUAGGUUUCUGCUAAGUCGCAAGACGAUGUAUAGGAGCUGACGCCUGCCCGGUGCUGGAAGGUUAAGGGGAUCUGUUAGAGCAAUCGAAGCAGUGAACUUAAGCCCCAGUAAACGGCGGCCGUAACUAUAACGGUCCUAAGGUAGCGAAAUUCCUUGUCGGGUAAGUUCCGACCCGCACGAAAGGCGUAACGAUUUGGGCACUGUCUCA
rnacentral:rRNA from 1 species